UACGGAGGGUGCGAGCGUUGUCCGGAAUCACUGGGCGUAAAGGGCGCGUAGGCGGCCUGGCAAGUCGAUGGUGAAAGCCCGAGGCUCAACUUCGGGUCGGCCACUGAUACUGCUGGGCUUGAGUCGACUAGAGGCAGAUGGAAUUCCGGGUGUAGCGGUGGAAUGCGUAGAGAUCCGGAAGAACACCUGUGGCGAAAGCGGCGCACUGGACCACAACUGACGCUGAGGCGCGAAAGCGUGGGGAGCGAACAGG
rnacentral:rRNA from 1 species